GACGAACGCUGGCGGCGUGCCUAAUACAUGCAAGUCGAACGCUUCUUUCCUCCCGAGUGCUUGCACUCAAUUGGAAAGAGGAGUGGCGGAUGGGUGAGUAACACGUGGGUAACCUACCCAUCAGAGGGGGAUAACACUUGGAAACAGGUGCUAAUACCGCAUAACAGUUUAUGCCGCAUGGCAUAAGAGUGAAAGGCGCUUUCGGGUGUCGCUGAUGGAUGGACCCGCGGUGCAUUAGCUAGUUGGUGAGGUAACGGCUCACCAAGGCCACGAUGCAUAGCCGACCUGAGAGGGUGAUCGGCCACACUGGGACUGAGACACGGCCCAGACUCCUACGGGAGGCAGCAGUAGGGAAUCUUCGGCAAUGGACGAAAGUCUGACCGAGCAACGCCGCGUGAGUGAAGAAGGUUUUCGGAUCGUAAAACUCUGUUGUUAGAGAAGAACAAGGACGUUAGUAACUGAACGUCCCCUGACGGUAUCUAACCAGAAAGCCACGGCUAACUACGUG
rnacentral:rRNA from 1 species